AACGAACGCUGGCGGCAUGCCUAACACAUGCAAGUCGAACGAGAUCUUCGGGUCUAGUGGCGCACGGGUGCGUAACGCGUGGGAAUCUGCCCUUUGGUUCGGAAUAACAGUUGGAAACGACUGCUAAUACCGGAUGAUGACGAAAGUCCAAAGAUUUAUCGCCAGAGGAUGAGCCCGCGUAGGAUUAGCUAGUUGGUGUGGUAAAGGCGCACCAAGGCGACGAUCCUCAGCUGGUCUGAGAGGAUGAUCAGCCACACUGGGACUGAGACACGGCCCAGACUCCUACGGGAGGCAGCAGUGGGGAAUAUUGGACAAUGGGCGAAAGCCUGAUCCAGCAAUGCCGCGUGAGUGAUGAAGGCCUUAGGGUUGUAAAGCUCUUUUACCCGGGAUGAUAAUGACAGUACCGGGAGAAUUAGCUCCGGCUAACUCCGUGCCAGCAGCCGCCGUAA
rnacentral:rRNA from 1 species